ACACUUACCUAGUGGGGAGAUACCCUGGUCAUAAAGGUGGUUUUCCCAGGGCAAGGUUUAUCUUUCUGAUGAGCUGAUACUUGCAGCUUCCUCAAAUGGGAGGGGGAACUUGACUGCAUCAUUUAUGGUAGUAGGGUACUGUGUUCAUGUUCUUCCCUU